rnacentral:rRNA from 1 species
GUGGGGAAUAUUGGACAAUGGGGGGAACCCUGAUCCAGCCAUGCCGCGUGUGUGAAGAAGGCCUUUUGGUUGUAAAGCACUUUAAGCGAGGAGGAGGCUACCGAGAUUAAUACUCUUGGAUAGUGGACGUUACUCGCAGAAUAAGCACCGGCUAACUCUGUGCCAGCAGCCGCGGUAAUACAGAGGGUGCGAGCGUUAAUCGGAUUUACUGGGCGUAAAGCGUGCGUAGGCGGCUUUUUAAGUCGGAUGUGAAAUCCCCGAGCUUAACUUGGGAAUUGCAUUCGAGACUGGGAAGCUAGAGUAUGGGAGAGGAUGGUAGAAUUCCAGGUGUAGCGGUGAAAUGCGUAGAGAUCUGGAGGAAUACCGAUGGCGAAGGCAGCCAUCUGGCCUAAUACUGACGCUGAGGUACGAAAGCAUGGGGAGCAAACAGGAUUAGAAACCCCGGUAGUCC